GAUGAACGCUGGCGGCGUGCCUAAUACAUGCAAGUCGAGCGAACAGACGAGGAACUUGCUCCUCUGACGUUAGCGGCGGACGGGUGAGUAACACGUGGAUAACCUACCUAUAAGACUGGGAUAACUUCGGGAAACCGGAGCUAAUACCGGAUAAUAUAUUGAACCGCAUGGUUCAAUAGUGAAAGACGGUUUUGCUGUCACUUAUAGAUGGAUCCGCGCCGCAUUAGCUAGUUGGUAAGGUAACGGCUUACCAAGGCAACGAUGCGUAGCCGACCUGAGAGGGGGGGGAGCCACAAGGGAGCUGAGAACGGGAGGAGGAGCAUGCGGGAGGAAGCAGGAGGGGAUGUGUGGGAAGGGUCGAGAGCGUGAAGGAGCAAGGGAUGGUGAGAGAUAAAGGUGUUGGGAUAGGAAACAUCUGUUAAGAGGGAGAAAUAAAUGGGUAAGGAAUAAUGCAGGGCUGGACGGGACCGAAUUAGAAAGCCACGGCUAACUAAGUG
rnacentral:rRNA from 1 species